GCAGAGUAUUAUUGUGAAAUAUCGCAUCCUUGCGUGCGCAGUUUCGGCAUGCUCUAUUGAUGGAUUGCAGCCAGUUUCGUGCCGGUCUCUGACGCAUCCAGAUGUAUUUCGCGCAACGCGUUUCGUUUUAUUCGGUCAUUACCCGACUAAGUCGUAAUAUGCAUAUGCAGUGUUACCUUAAUAAUUAAUUGUGCGUUAAAUGUCCCUAAAUGUUUUUUUUGCUUGCUUGUGAUGUUUAUAUUUCAAAUUACAAUGCUGCGGGUUUAUUGUCGAUUAUUGUGUGACGUGGUCGGUCGCUAAAUUAACUGGAAACAUAUUCGUGCUUGAGUGAGUUACUUUUACCUGACCAUUGCGAUUCUCAGCACAGGAAUACUUGUCGUGCCCUUGCAAUCCGAUGAGCGCUGCAUUGUAUAUGCCGUACCUUCUACCGCUACCUUCGUACGGUGCCUUGAAUGGGAGUCACUUCUAUUUUCUUUAUGGAUCCUUUGUUGGAUGAAGCAUUGGCUAAUCCUGAGAUGAUCAAGUUUAUCAAUAAGUACCAACUGGAGAGGUUCCGUGGUACUGGUGGAGUGCGUAUUGAGGAUGAUGUUUUGAUUACUGAAGAUGGAUCUGUCAACUGGACUUGAGUUCCAAGAACUGUCCCAGAAAUUGAAGAUUGGAUUGCCGGUGUUGAUAAUGAUCCCAAAUACGAUUGAAUGAAUUUACAACAUUUUGAAGCUGAUACUGAUAUCAUUUUUGUUUAUUUUGUUAAAAGGUAUAAAAAGAGCAUUAAAUAAUUGCAUAUUAUUAUCCUGUUUUCAUGCAUGUAUUGUUAAAAAUGCUGUAUAUAUUGAGAAAUUGAGUUUGUGAUUCUACAUGUAUGAAUAAAAUUGUAGUUUAAUAUUUUUAA